AACGAACGCUGGCGGCAUGCCUAACACAUGCAAGUCGAACGAGACCUCCGGGUCUACUUGCGCACGGGUGCGUAACGCGGGGGAACCUGCCAUGAGGUUCGGAAGAAUGCCUCGACAGGGGUGCUAAUACCGGUAAACGUCUUCGGACCAAAGGUGUAACGUCUUUGGAGGGGCCCGCGCUGGCUUAACUAGUUGGGAGGGUAAAAGCCUACCAAGGGCAUGCUCCAUAGCUGGUCUGUGAGGAAGGACAGCCACACUUGGGCUGGGAUCCGGCCCCGACUCCUGCGGGAGGGCGGAAUGGGGGAUAUUGGAAAAUGGGGGGAAGCCUGAACGCGCAAUGGCGGGUGAGUGUUGAAGGCCUUAGGGUUGUAAAGCUCUUUUACACGGGAUGAUAAUGACAGUACCGGACGAAUAAGCUCCGGCUAACUCCGUG
rnacentral:rRNA from 1 species